GGGGUUGUGGCUCAGUGAUAAAGUGCUUGCCUUGCAUGCAUGAGUCACUGGGUUCAAUCCUCAGCACCA
rnacentral:tRNA from 1 species